GGAAUGCCAGGAGCAACAUGGCCUCUCCACCAGCCCCAACAGGUUUGCAGUGCAGACCCUGAAGGCCCUGCUCUGCAGUCUCCACUUGGAGCAUGUGGUGGUGGCAAUAGAACGCAAGCGUGGCUGAGACACGCUGCUCUGUGCUGACACCCACCACUAUGCUGUGGGUCUCCUGGCCAGGGUAAUGCGCCGUGCAUCCGUCCACUUGUGCAAAAGCAUCUUAAGCUACUGCUUGAGCUGCUCAGCAAACCAAUGCCACACUGGGAUGUCUCUGCCAUGGCAUUCCUUGUGGAGCUCCUAGAUUGCCUGGACUUGAAUGAAUGCGCUGACAGCCUAAUGGCUAUCUUGUCGAAGCACCUGUGGUACAACUGCAGAGAGAUGCAUCACCAGGUUCUCAGGGCUCUCCUCCUGUUAAGGGACCAUCCCUGCAUGGCCGAAAGAAUGCAGAGCCUGACAGGAAGACUACUGCACCUCCUGUGGGACUUUGAUAGUGACGUGGCCAGGAUGAGCAUUGUUCUCCUUGGCUAUAUUUUCUUGGAAAAAAACACCCCAAUAUCCUGGCGCAGGGCCCUGCAGCUGGCUGAGCCGCUCCUGAAACUCCUGGACAAUCCUGAUAGCCAGGUGCAGCUGCUCUCCAUGUCUCCAUGUCUCUCCUUCUGUCUUUGGCAGAAGAAGAAGGAAAAAAGCCCCUAAAGAAAAAAGUGUACCAGAGCCUGCUCCCACUCUUUUUCCACUGCCAAGAUGAGAAUCGGCAUGUGGCAGAGGCCUCUCGGACAACGCUCCUUCGCGCGGCUGACUUCCUGAAGAGGCCAGACCUAGAAAAAGCUGUCAGGAAGGAGAAGCUGUGGAAGUUUGCCAAGCUCGUGCUGGCAGACCACAGGAUCCCCU